ACCGGCGAACGGUUGCGUAACGCGUAUGCAACCUACCCUUAACUGGGGGAUAGCCCGGAGAAAUUCGGAUUAAUACCCCAUAGUAUUACAGAUUGGCAUCAUGAAGUAAUUAAAGAUUUAUUGGUUAAGGAUGGGCAUGCGUGACAUUAGUUAGUUGGUAAGGUAACGGCUUACCAAGACGAUGAUGUCUAGGGGUUCUGAGAGGAUGAUCCCCCACACUGGUACUGAGAUACGGACCAGACUCCUACGGGAGGC
rnacentral:rRNA from 1 species